rnacentral:rRNA from 1 species
GACGAACGCUGGCGGCGUGCUUAACACAUGCAAGUCGAACGAAGAGCGAUGGAAGCUUGCUUCUAUCAAUCUUAGUGGCGAACGGGUGAGUAACGCGUAAUCAACCUGCCCUUCAGAGGGGGACAACAGUUGGAAACGACUGCUAAUACCGCAUACGAUCUAAUCUCGGCAUCGAGGAUAGAUGAAAGGUGGCCUCUACAUGUAAGCUAUCACUGAAGGAGGGGAUUGCGUCUGAUUAGCUAGUUGGGGGGGUAACGGCCCACCAAGGCGAUGAUCAGUAGCCGGUCUGAGAGGAUGAACGGCCACAUUGGGACUGAGACACGGCCCAGACUCCUACGGGAGGCAGCAGUGGGGAAUCUUCCGCAAUGGACGAAAGUCUGACGGAGCAACGCCGCGUGAGUGAGGACGGCCUUCGGGUUGUAAAGCUCUGUUAAUCGGGACGAAAGGCCUUCUUGCGAAUAGGGAGAAGGAUUGACGGUACCGGAAUAGAAAGCCACGGCUAACUACGUG